UGGGGAAUAUUGCACAAUGGGCGAAAGCCUGAUGCAGCAACGCCGCGUGCGGGAUGACGGCCUUCGGGUUGUAAACCGCUUUUCAGCAGGGACGAAGGGUUUCUGACGGUACCUGCAGAAGAAGCACCGGCUAACUACGUGCCAGCAGCCGCGGUGAUACGUAGGGUGCGAGCGUUGUCCGGAAUUAUUGGGCGUAAAGAGCUCGUAGGUGGUUUGUUGCGUCGGAAGUGAAAACUCAGGGCUUAACCCUGAGCCUGCUUUCGAUACGGGCAGACUAGAGGAAGGUAGGGGAGAACGGAAUUCCUGGUGGAGCGGUGGAAUGCGCAGAUAUCAGGAGGAACACCGGUGGCGAAGGCGGUUCUCUGGACCUUUCCUGACGCUGAGGAGCGAAAGCGUGGGGAGCAAACAGGCUUAGAUACCCUGGUAGUCCACGCCGUAAACGGUGGGCACUAGGUGUGGGGACAUUCCACNUUCUCCGUGCCGU
rnacentral:rRNA from 1 species